rnacentral:rRNA from 1 species
CAGCCGCCGCGGUAAUACGAAGGGGGCUAGCGUUGCUCGGAAUGACUGGGCGUAAAGGGCGCGUAGGCGGAUGGCACAGUCAGAUGUGAAAUUCCCGGGCUUAACCUGGGGGCUGCAUUUGAUACGUGUUGUCUAGAGUGAGGAAGAGGGUCGUGGAAUUCCCAGUGUAGAGGUGAAAUUCGUAGAUAUUGGGAAGAAUACCGGUGGCGAAGGCGGCGACCUGGUCCUUUACUGACGCUGUGGCGCGAAAGCGUGGGGAGCAAACAGGAUUAGAUACCCCUGUAGUCCCUGUCUCUUAUAC